GGAGUGGAGGAGGCCAGGGCCGAGUCUCGGCUACGCAGGGCCCCGGCGGUGGCCGGAGAGCUGCACCUGUCUGUGGCGGUAUGCGGGGAGGCCGGCCUGCGUGGCGCCGGGGCCGGGACGGCGGCGCCUGCGCUGGGCCGCUCGUCGGGCCGCUCCCCGUGUCAGUGAUGGUGUGCGGAGCUCUCCGGGAGGGAGGCCUGCGCUCGGGCCGGCAAGGACCAGGGGUCCCUAGUGAGCGACCUCAACGGUGGGGGCAGAGGGAGAGAGCAGGCCUCGGCUUCGAGGCUUGUCUAUGGGUGUCCGAGCGCGUCCUCGGUUGAGGGAAAGGGGCCGACGUGCGAAAUGGCAGCCGAGGGGGCCGUCGCCGAGUUUGUGGGGCGGCUCCGUGCCUGCCCGUCGCCGGUGCGAAGUGCUGCAGAAAACGGGCGGUAGUGCUUGCGUGUAAAGGAGCAAGAAGUGCAAUACUGUUGCUUCAGGCUGAUCUGGGGAAUGACUACUCAUCUAAAAGAGCAGAUGGGAAAAGGAAUUUGGUUCUUGUUGACAAGUUCACAUGGUGCAUGGUAGAUAUUGUAGUAGGAGAUGCUUGUAACAUCAUCAGCCUCUGUGUUUUAAGAAGAGAAACAUAGGUAUUAUGUUGUUUACAAGUCGUCGGUUUGUGUUUGUAUGUACACAUAUCUGUAUGCUGACAGGAGCUCAGAUUGCAGUUUUUUAAAGUAUAUUGUGUGGAUUUUUUUCAUUAACUUUUGUGAAGAGUAAUAGCAUGUUUUCAUGAAUACAAAAUACUAGUAGUUUCACUGCCGCACUUAGAGAAUCUUUUAUUAGUUUCAUGAAAACUUUUCUUUCAAAUGUUACAUAGGUUUAGCUGCAUCCGUGCAGUACAGAUAAUCAGGGCCUCAUUAUUUUCUCUUGUUCAUAACUUUGGCAUAAAGUUCUUUUUCAUUUGGAACAGAUGUAUUAAAGCAGUUUCUAAUA